CGUGUUGCAAAACUACUUGCCGAAGAACCGAAUCGCUUUCCAUCCUUUGCGGCUCAAGGCUCGGAGGUAGAAUGUCUCCCGGGGAUUUCGAAAAGAUGUUCUAAGAUGUUUUACUAUUGAUACAGCAAUAUUUAUAAUGUCUUGCAUCGCUAAGAGAAAUCGAAAGGCCUGGACACUUGGCGAUUCUGAUAAUAACUUGUGUCUAUUUCUCUGGUGUGACAAAGAAGUACACGUGACACAACUCCCUUGGACAAUCAAACCAAGAAUACCCUAGGUUAAGUUACUGCGCGGUAGCAGCAUGUCCAAGCGGUUUCUAAAAGCUAGUUACGUGGUACACGGAAACAUAUAUUGCGGAAGUACUCUCCUAUUAACCGUUCCGCAAAUAUGUGCUCUUGGUACUCGACUCUAUGAAGAUCGGUGCAACUGAUAACUUGUAAAAAAUUUAAGUAUUCUCUGUACGAGCUCUGUACUGUAAUUUUCGAAACCAACUUCGCUGUUCCACGAUUAAAAAAAAUAUUUGUUUAAACUAGAUGAAGAAAAUUUCCCUGCUGUUUAAAAAUUGCAAACAUCAUUUACAUGUGUGAUAUCAUAUUACAUUAAAUUAUUACACGCAAAUACAUCCAUAUUAUUUUCCUGGGAGGAUUACACUAGUGUAUAAAUAUUCAGAUCUGAAUAUUUUAUAAAUGUCAUUGCAUAAAACGUACGAAACGUUUUUCAAUGACGAAAUGUAGUUAAAUACUUUUAACUACUUAUCGCGUAUGUCAAGUUAAACAAAUUGAUAUUCAUAUUUUUUCUGUAGAUCUUAAAUUCGAAUUAAUAUGUUAAAAGUAUGCGCAAUAACUCUGCAUACACGAAAAAGCUCUCUAGUGCUUCAGGUUCAUCGUCACUAUGAUAUGCCGAUAUAACCACGGACUGUACCUUACAUAGUGUACCUAGACUGUAAUAUCCUACGGCGAGGGAGUGCCAUUGAUAAGGAAGUGGUGGCCGAGUCUGCGAUUUUAGGAAUCGGUAGAUCAACCGCAAUUACUUUCUAGAGAACAAAAAUUCUACCAAAGCAUUCUCCCCGGGGC